rnacentral:rRNA from 1 species
AUUGAACGCUGGCGGCAGGCCUAACACAUGCAAGUCGGGCGGUAACAGGGAGAAGCUUGCUUCUCCGCUGACGAGCGGCGGACGGGUGAGUAAUGUAUGGGGAUCUGCCUGAUGGCGGGGGAUAACUACUGGAAACGGUAGCUAAUACCGCAUGACGUCUUCGGACCAAAGUGGGGGACCUUCGGGCCUCACGCCAUCAGAUGUGCCCAGAUGGGAUUAGCUAGUAGGUGGGGUAAUGGCUCACCUAGGCGACGAUCCCUAGCUGGUCUGAGAGGAUGACCAGCCACACUGGAACUGAGACACGGUCCAGACUCCUACGGGAGGCAGCAGUGGGGAAUAUUGCACAAUGGGCGCAAGCCUGAUGCAGCCAUGCCGCGUGUAUGAAGAAGGCCUUCGGGUUGUAAAGUACUUUCAGCGAGGAGGAAGGCAUUAAGGUUAAUAACCUUGGUGAUUGACGUUACUCGCAGAAGAAGCACCGGCUAACUCCGUGCCAGCCGCCGCGGUAAAAC